rnacentral:tRNA from 1 species
ACCUGGGUGGCUUAGUUGGUUAAGCGUCUGACUUCAGCUCAGGUCAUGAUCUCACUGCUUGUGGGGUCAAGCCCCGUGUC